rnacentral:tRNA from 1 species
UGCGGGGUGGAGCAGUUCGGUAGCUCGUCGGGCUCAUAACCCGAAGGUCGCAGGUUCAAAUCCUGCCCCCGCCACCA